CACCCAAAAACUGAGAGUGGAGAUGUGGCUCAAGUGGUAGAGUACUAGCCUUGAGUGAAAAAGCUAAGGGACCCAACCCCUGAGCUCAAGCCCCAGAACUGGCACACACACAAAAGUCCAUAUUCUCAAGCAUUAACUGG